rnacentral:rRNA from 1 species
AGAGUUUGAUCCUGGCUCAGGAUGAACGCCGGCGGUGUGCCUAAUACAUGCAAGUCGUACGCACUGGCCCAACUGAUUGAUGGUGCUUGCACCUGAUUGACGUUGGAUCACCAGUGAGUGGCGGACGGGUGAGUAACACGUAGGUAACCUGCCCCGGAGCGGGGGAUAACAUUUGGAAACAGAUGCUAAUACCGCAUAACAACAAAAGUCACAUGGCUUUUGUUUGAAAGAUGGCUUUGGCUAUCACUCUGGGAUGGACCUGCGGUGCAUUAGCUAGUUGGUAAGGUAACGGCUUACCAAGGCGAUGAUGCAUAGCCGAGUUGAGAGACUGAUCGGCCACAAUGGAACUGAGACACGGUCCAUACUCCUACGGGAGGCAGCAGUAGGGAAUCUUCCACAAUGGGCGCAAGCCUGAUGGAGCAACACCGCGUGAGUGAAGAAGGGUUUCGGCUCGUAAAGCUCUGUUGUUGGAGAAGAACGUGCGUGAGAGUAACUGUUCACGCAGUGACGGUAUCCAACCAGAAAGUCACGGCUAACUACGUGCCAGCAGCCGCGGUAAUACGUAGGUGGCAAGCGUUAUCCGGAUUUAUUGGGCGUAAAGCGAGCGCAGGCGGUUGCUUAGGUCUGAUGUGAAAGCCUUCGGCUUAACCGAAGAAGUGCAUCGGAAACCGGGCGACUUGAGUGCAGAAGAGGACAGUGGAACUCCAUGUGUAGCGGUGGAAUGCGUAGAUAUAUGGAAGAACACCAGUGGCGAAGGCGGCUGUCUGGUCUGCAACUGACGCUGAGGCUCGAAAGCAUGGGUAGCGAACAGAAGUAGAUACCCUGGUAGUCCAUGCCGUAAACGAUGA